ACACAUGCAGUCGAGCGGAGAAAGUCUUCGGAACUUUCUUAGCGGCGGACGGGUGAGUAACACGUGGGUAACCUGCCUUAUAGAGGGGGAUAGCCUUCCGAAAGGAAGAUUAAUACCGCAUAACAUUUUCAUUUCGCAUGAAAUGAAAAUCAAAGGAGCAAUCCGCUAUGAGAUGGACCCGCGGCGCAUUAGCUAGUUGGUGAGGUAAUGGCUCACCAAGGCGACGAUGCGUAGCCGACCUGAGAGGGUGAUCGGCCACAUUGGAACUGAGAUACGGUCCAGACUCCUACGGGAGGCAGCAGUGGGGAAUAUUGCACAAUGGGGGAAACCCUGAUGCAGCAACGCCGCGUGAGUGAUGAAGGCCUUCGGGUUGUAAAGCUCUGUCUUCAGGGACGA
rnacentral:rRNA from 1 species